GAAUCAAUUCAAAUCCUUACUUACUUGAAUGCGGCAAGAGGACUGGAGCAAAGAUGCUAUUGCUGCCUAUUGGAAUGAGAAAAAUUAAUUUGAAAAGAAAGGACAAUCAAGACCAUGUUCCUUUGCUAUGGGAGAAAAGCCAGUUGAGAUGCAGGAAGUUUCCACAGCAGCCUGGUAGAGAAGUCAAUAUGGAUAGUAAAUGAGGAUAUUCUCCACUCUUUAUGAUUUCUGUUCUAGCUCCUGAAAUAGCUCUGCAUAUUGAUCUCUAUAUCCCAGAUCUAGAACGUGCCAGAUUCUUUUAGCCAAUUAGUAUGUGCAAUAAUAUUCUAUAAAAGAUUUCUACAUUAAGGAAUGACUGAAAGAACUCAAAAAAACAGAAGAUAAUCUAAUACAAGCUUCAAUGAACAGAUUUUGAAGGACUGGAAAAUUAUUUCAUCAUGUGCUUUAUGAAAGGAUUCUAGAAUUUACAAUUCUAGAUAAGAUGGUGAGAUAUUUUAGUUGCUUUAUUAAAAAAAAGGAACAUUCAAUUUGAGUUUACCUGAAAGUGUAGAGCCACUGCAGGUCUGG